AUUGAACGCUGGCGGCAGGCCUAACACAUGCAAGUCGAGCGGAGCUGCGGACGGGUGAGUAAUGCCUAGGAAUCUGCCUGGCAUAUGGGGAUGACGUCCGGAAACGGGCGCUAAUAUCGCACACUAUCAGAUGAGCCUAGGUCGGAUUAGCUAGUUGGUGUGGUAACGGCUUACCAAGGCGACGAUCCGUAACUGGUCUGAGAGGAUGACCAGCCACACUGGAACUGAGACACGGUCCAGACUCCUACGGGAGGCAGCAGUGGGGAAUAUUGCACAAUGGGCGCAAGCCUGAUGCAGCCAUGCCGCGUGUGUGAAGAAGGCCUUCGAGUUGUAAAGUACUUUCAGUGGGGAGGCGUUACCCACACAAGAAGCACCGGCUAACUCCGUGCCAGCAGCCGCGGUAAUAC
rnacentral:rRNA from 1 species